GUGGGGAAUCUUCCACAAUGGACGAAAGUCUGAUGGAGCAACGCCGCGUGAGUGAAGAAGGGUUUCGGCUCGUAAAGCUCUGUUGUCGGGGACGAAUGUGCAGUAUUUGAAUAAAGUACUGUAAUGACGGUACCUGACGAGGAAGCCACGGCUAACUACGUGCCAGCAGCCGCGGUAAUACGUAGGUGGCAAGCGUUGUCCGGAAUUAUUGGGCGUAAAGGGAGCGCAGGCGGGAAGGUAAGUCGGUCUUAAAAGUGCGGGGCUCAACCCCGUGAUGGGAUCGAAACUAUCUUUCUUGAGUGCAGGAGAGGAAAGUGGAAUUCCUAGUGUAGCGGUGAAAUGCGUAGAUAUUAGGAGGAACACCAGUGGCGAAGGCGACUUUCUGGACUGUAACUGACGCUGAGGCUCGAAAGCCAGGGGAGCGAACGGGAUUAGAAACCCUUGUAGUCC
rnacentral:rRNA from 1 species